ensembl:snRNA U6 U6 spliceosomal RNA
GUGCUCACUUUAGCAGCAUGUAUACUAAAGUUGGGACUGCAGAGACGAUUACCAUGGCCCCUGCGGGAAGAUGAGACUCAGAUUUGUGAUGUGGGCAAAAUUUAA